GGGCCUCCUCAAUGCUUGGGCACUCUAAGGUCUACACAUAUGAGCUUCUCCUCAGGUUGGCGACUCCAAGGGUGGCAAGCUUUAACAAGAGGUCUGCCCUCGUGUUUUCGAAACUCAAAACUUGCUGAAAAUUUAGUAUGGCGAAGCUAAAAGUGAGGUCUUUUACUUUCUAUAGGUACUUUAUCAUAUGAGGCUCCCAUGCUUUGUACUCACCUUGCACCUGACCAACCACAAGCUAGGGGUCAUUAUGAACCCUCAGGGGCUGAACUCUUAUUUUCAUUGC
rnacentral:lncRNA from 1 species